rnacentral:rRNA from 1 species
ACGGGUGCGUAACGCGUGGGAAUCUACCCUUGGGUUCGGAAUAACAUCGGGAAACUGAUGCUAAUACCGGAUAAUGACGUAAGUCCAAAGAUUUAUCGCCCAGGGAUGAGCCCGCGUAGGAUUAGCUUGUUGGUGAGGUAAAGGCUCACCAAGGCGACGAUCCUAGCUGGUCUGAGAGGAUGAUCAGCCACACUGGGACUGAGACACGGCCCAGACUCCUACGGGAGGCAGCAGUAGGGAAUAUUGGACAAUGGGGGCAACCCUGAUCCAGCAAUGCCGCGUGAGUGAUGAAGGCCUUAGGGUUGUAAAGCUCUUUUACCCGGGAUGAUAAUGACAGUACCGGGAGAAUAAGCCCCGGCUAACUCCGUGCCAGCAGCCGCGGUAAUACGGAGGGGGCUAGCGUUGUUCGGAAUUACUGGGCGUAAAGCGCACGUAGGCGGCGAUUUAAGUCAGAGGUGAAAGCCCGGGGCUCAACCCCGGAACUGCCUUUGAGACUGGAUUGCUUGAAUCACGGAGAGGUGGGUGGAAUUCCGAGUGUAGAGGUGAAAUUCGUAGA